rnacentral:rRNA from 1 species
AUUGAACGCUGGCGGCAUGCCUUACACAUGCAAGUCGAACGGCAGCGCGGGAGCAAUCCUGGCGGCGAGUGGCGAACGGGUGAGUAAUACAUCGGAACGUGCCCAAUCGUGGGGGAUAACGCAGCGAAAGCUGUGCUAAUACCGCAUACGAUCUACGGAUGAAAGCAGGGGAUCGCAAGACCUUGCGCGAAUGGAGCGGCCGAUGGCAGAUUAGGUAGUUGGUGAGGUAAAGGCUCACCAAGCCUUCGAUCUGUAGCUGGUCUGAGAGGACGACCAGCCACACGGGGACUGAGACACGGCCCCGACUCCUACGGGAGGCAGCAGCGGGGAAUUUUGGACAAUGGGCGAAAGCCUGAUCCAGCCAUGCCGCGUGCAGGAUGAAGGCCUUCGGGUUGUAAACUGCUUUUGUACGGAACGAAACGGUCUUUUCUAAUAAAGAAGGCUAAUGACGGUACCGUAAGAAUAAGCACCGGCUAACUACGUG